rnacentral:rRNA from 1 species
CGAACGGCACCUAUCUUCGGAUAGAAGCGAGCGGCGAACGGCCGAGUAACACGUGGAGAACCUGCCCCCUCCCCCGGGAUAGCCGCCCGAAAGGACGGGUAAUACCGGAUACCCCGGGGUGCCGCAUGGCACCCCGGCUAAAGCCCCGACGGGAGGGGAUGGCUCCGCGGCCCAUCAGGUAGACGGCGGGGUGACGGCCCACCGUGCCGACAACGGGUAGCCGGGUUGAGAGACCGACCGGCCAGAUUGGGACUGAGACACGGCCCAG